rnacentral:rRNA from 1 species
UGGGGAAUUUUGGACAAUGGGCGAAAGCCUGAUCCAGCAAUGCCGCGUGUGUGAAGAAGGCCUUCGGGUUGUAAAGCACUUUUGUCCGGAAAGAAAUCCUUGGCUCUAAUACAGUCGGGGGAUGACGGUACCGGAAGAAUAAGCACCGGCUAACUACGUGCCAGCAGCCGCGGUAAUACGUAGGGUGCAAGCGUUAAUCGGAAUUACUGGGCGUAAAGCGUGCGCAGGCGGUUUGCUAAGACCGAUGUGAAAUCCCCGGGCUCAACCUGGGAACUGCAUUGGUGACUGGCAGGCUAGAGUAUGGCAGAGGGGGGUAGAAUUCCACGUGUAGCAGUGAAAUGCGUAGAGAUGUGGAGGAAUACCGAUGGCGAAGGCAGCCCCCUGGGCCAAUACUGACGCUCAUGCACGAAAAGCGUGGGGAGCAAAACAGGAUUAGAUACCCUGGUAGUCCACGCCCUAAAACGAUGUCAACUAGUUGUUGGGGAUUCAUUUCCUUAGUAACGUAGCUAACGCGUGAAGUUGACCGCCUGGGGAGUACGGUCGCAAGAUUAAAACUCAAAUGAAUUGACGGGGUCAUA